rnacentral:misc_RNA from 1 species
GUUUAAAUAAGAUGAUUGCAUCAAGAUUCUCCCUUUUACAGGUCUAUCUGGUAUCUAAUCAUCCAUACCUAGUUUGCACGACUUUUAAUUACAUCAAGUUCCAUUUCAGUUGGAUCAGUAGCCUGCAACUCAAUCUGAAUUCCGUCAAGCUCUCUCUUGAAUCUGUCCUUUGAACUGGCAUAGAUCAUCUUGCUUCUCACUCUUGCUGUGUCA